CUCACGUACAGCAUAAGCUCAAAUAAAUAUAUGUAUAUAUUUGUUGGGCGAGUAUUAUUGAUUUAUUACUAUGGGCAAUGUUCUACAUGCUGGAGACAAAUUGAAAAAAAAAUAAAGCAGAUAAAAUCUCUGCCCUUAUGGAGCUCAUCUUUUAGUAGGGAGAGAUAUUCAAUAAAGAAAUAUAAUUAAAAUAUGGAAUUGUGGUGAUGAGUACAAAAGAGGAAGAUUUUGCAAGCAAUAUGGAGGUUACUAAUAUUCUUGGUAAAAGCAGUUUUAAUGGACGAUGGAUAUGAAAACCCAAUUGGAAUGGGUGCAAGUAUGAAUGAGAGGAGCAAAUUAAAACCGACAGUACUGAAAAUUAUUUCAGGGAUCUUACUAUGAAGGUGAAUACAGAAAUGAGGUAUGGAGAAAUAGCAUACUUGUAGGUUGACCCAAACAAUCCCAGUAGAGAUACAAAGAAGGUUUUAUGGGAGACAGAAGAGAAAAUUGCUGAGCUAUGUCCUUUAGCAGUUUUUGCAAGAGGACACAGUCUAGCUCCCAAGUAAAGAGAUUAGACUUAAGAAUAUGGACUAUAUGGAGAUGAUGUAAGCAGGUGGUAUGUUUGUUAAAUGAAUGAUUCACUGUUAAUCAUAAUAGUAAAGUACUCGCACCAGGAACUUCCAAAUUCCAACAAGUGGCUUUAUAUCACGGGGCUUUCCCUGAUCCCCUUUGUGAACUGAGAUCAUCUAUGUAUAAGUUAUAGUCUACAAUAUUAAAUUUGGGUUUCAAGUGUUGACUUGUUCUCAUUUUCUGAAGACUGGUGGAACAAUUCUUCUACUUGGAAGCAUUUUAAUGGGAUGUAUCAGAAAACCAACUCAAAUCACAAAAGGAAAGGAAGAAAGAAGAAAGAAAAGAUCCUUUGAAAAGGCAAGAGGGAAGGGAGAUUGCUUUGCCAUGUUUCUUUCCUGUGUGUUACUCCCUCUCGGAGACAUCUGUCACUGGCUUUUGCUCACCCCUCUGGAAAUGCUGCUGCCACCAAGCCACAGGAAGGCUGCCUUCUUAUGGGCAGAAAUGCUUCCCCUGGGGCUGCAAGGCAAAGGAAACUAGCCUCUAGUUGAAGACCCAUAUCUGGAAACAGUGUGAUCUCACCCUUCUGGAUGGAGCACAUUUUCUUCCUGGACCAAGCCACUUCUGCUUGGUCCCUGGCAACCCAGCUGAGUUAGAAAAAGAGAAACCUGCCUGAUAAGUCUCAUAGCUCAGGCCUCCAAGACAUCAAAAAUUAGGCUUAUGCCAGUCUGUCUCAGUGUUCUAAUAAGAUAAAUAUUCCAUGCAGUUCCCUGAGACAUGAAAUAGGCCUUUUGAUUGACCUUUCCAAAGAGGCAGUUAAGACCUUCUGAAAACCUCUACAAACUGUGUAAGCAUUCAAUGAUUUCUUAGUUGGGUUUUUCCUUAAAAAUGUCCUGUUUCUUAUCAGUUUUAGAUAUUUUUCCAAGAACCCCAGGGAGAUUUGCAGUGGGAUAAUCCAGUGUACAUGGUAAAAAUGAAACCACUAUCACAAGGUUUAUGAAGGGACAAAUCAAGUAUAAUACAAGAAGCUCUAAAGAAAACAGGAAGAUUUAGCAUGUUAAAAAGAAAAACCACAGCAAGAUGGCUUUUACCAUCUCCACGCACUGACUCGGGGUUUAUGUUCCUAAACAGAGCCCUAUUCAGGUGAAAGAAAAACCCAACCACCACCAAGUUCUACUUUAUUCUCCCUGAUGGAAGAGGUUAAAUUUUAUCACUCUAUGUGUCGUUUUCCCCCUGUACUCUCUUAGUACCUUUUCCAUUCAAACAUUGGAAUAAUAACCAUAUUUAUUAAGCAUCUUGGUUUCAUAAUAAGGCAACUACAACUCAUAAGGAUUAAGUAGCUUUUCCAAAUCACACAGCAAGUGAAAGGAGGAAAAAAAGGAAUCUGGACAUCACAUAAUACUAAAACAUGUUCUUUCUUUCACCCCAGACUUGCGUCAGGAAGAAAAAGAUGAUGCAGAUGACUGUAUUUGAUUACAGUGUAUUUAUGGGAACUAUAUAGAGCAGUAUUCCAUGGUCUUCUCCCUUGCCUGGCUCUGCUGUUAGCAUAGGGAUGGAGCUGAGCUGAGUAUAUAGGAAAGCUUCAAAUAACAGAAGGUGGAGCCCACCAGUCAGCCUACACUGUUGGAGAGUUUGCUACUUGGAUUGAAAUGAGAUAUUCAGAUGUACUACGGAAUAUUAGAAAUGUGAAAGUAGGGUGCAAAAACAAAGUUAAUAACCUUAACAGUGUCAAAGUGCCUAAAAACAUAAAAUGUAUCAAUAGGCAAUGGUGUGCUGCUGCUAACUAUUUAACAACCAGCCUUCUCAAAACCCAGCCCUGGUUUGUAGCAUCUGCUGGUUUCCGUGGUGUGAACACUCACACCAUGGCCUAUUUUAAGUUACCAAUGUGAGGCCACCAACUGCAGAGUUGCAAAGACAGGCACUGGAGCACGUCAUGGUGUUGUAUUUCCACCACACACAUAUAAUAGAUGCGAGUAACCUCAGGAGCCUGGGAAACAAUAGAAUGCAAACAAAAUAAUCAGAGAUAAGUUUUCAGUAUUUAGUAUUCAUUACUUUCAUCUUUAAUAUCUAUUUUACUUGUAAUUUCAUAUCAUUUCAUUUUUAAUAAUGACUGUUAACAACCAGCUCUCACAGAUCCUACAGAGGUUAACACUGGCUCUCUGAGUCGGUGAAAACGGGCUCCAAACAUGCCACUGCCUGUAGGGGUCCUGGCAAAGGACUCUUAUUUUGGGGGACAGUGUUGGCCUGGGGACUGUGUAUCUGUGCCAGAGUUGGGUGGGCAAGUAAGAACAGCUGCACAUACACCUUAACAACAUCUUAGACUCCAGCAGCAUCUACACAAGCCUAUCAUCCCACCCAGCAUGGCGUGAGACCCUUUGGGUUCCUGCAGACCCCAAGAGGAAUUAAAGCUGGUUUGCCUUAAGGAUAAGCAAAAUUAAUGUCCUACACUUGAGGCUUCCUAGGGCUCAGCUCUCUGCCACAUCUCUACUCCUGGACUAUAGUUGAAACUCCUUUGACUCUCUCCCCUCACAAUUAGAGAUAAAAGAUUAAAAAUAUAAACACCUGGUUGAGGUCUGCCUGAAAUCCAUUCAUGUCUAGAGAAAGGGGACCAAAGGAGAGAGGAGAGGCUGGGAUGGGAAAGUAAUUGGGGCAUUUCACGACUGGCCUAUGGUCAGUCUUGUUUUCCUUCAGCUGGCACGAACAAGCGCCAGCUGUGCACUGAGGUGCUUUUGCCAUGGAGGCACCCAUGUGCUGCUUGAUGCAGGAAGUUAUUAUCUGGGGUUGGGGUCAGACAGGCAUAGAUUAGAAUCUCGUUUUCUUGGACACAAUACUUAACCUCUUUAAACACAUACAAAUCCUCCUAUGCAAAAGGAGACACUAGCACCCACUUUAGGACUCAUGUGAAGAAAUCUAGCAAAGGGGAGUACUUGUGUUACCAUAAAUUUUUGAGACAUGUAGCUAUUGUUGUUAUUUUAAUAUGGUCAGAUGUACAGUGAUGCUUAUUAUGAAAUCCACCCAUCAGAGCAUCUUGAUACUAAAAAAAAAGUUGUGAUGAACAGUAAUCCAUGGCUUUAAUUAAUAAAGGAAAGAGGCUAUCGCCUGCCCCA
ensembl:lncRNA